rnacentral:piRNA from 1 species
UAUUUCCAGUAAGCUUAAACU